rnacentral:rRNA from 1 species
UACAGAGGGUGCGAGCGUUAAUCGGAAUUACUGGGCGUAAAGCGCGCGUAGGCGGCUUUUCAAGUCGACUGUGAAAUCCCCGGGCUUAACCUGGGAACUGCAGUCGAGACUGUCUAGCUAGAGUAUGGGAGAGGGAAGUGGGAUUUCAGGUGUAGCGGUGAAAUGCGUAGAUAUCUGAAGGAACAUCAGUGGCGAAAGCGACUUCCUGGACCAAUACUGACGCUCAUGUGCGAAAGCGUGGGGAGCAAACAGG